rnacentral:rRNA from 1 species
AUAACCCGUUGAAAGACGGCCUAAUACCGUAUGAUAUCGUUUGCUGACAUCAAAAUAACGAUUAAAAGGGGUUUAGCGGUUAUGGAUGGGGAUGCGUCUGAUUAGCUUGUUGGCGGGGUAACGGCCCACCAAGGCUACGAUCAGUAGGGGUUCUGAGAGGAAGGUCCCCCACAUUGGAACUGAGACACGGUCCAAACUCCUACGGGAGGCAGCAGUGAGGAAUAUUGGUCAAUGGGCGAGAGCCUGAACCAGCCAAGUAGCGUGCAGGAAGACGGCCCUAUGGGUUGUAAACUGCUUUUAUGUGGGGAUAAAGUGCGUGACGUGUCAUGCAUUGCAGGUACCACAUGAAUAAGGACCGGCUAAUUCCGUGCCAGCAGCCGCGGUAAU